GUGAAUCAUCAAAUCUUUGAACGCAAAUUGCACUCUCUGGUAUUCCGGGGAGUAUGCUUGCUUGAGGGUUAGUUUGUUACAAUCGUAAAAAGAAAUUUUUACGGGUUUGGAUUUUCCAAAAGUUAUAUUUUUGUUAAUCUAAAAUUAAUCAUAACAAUGGGUAAUAUUGGAAAUGUUUAUUUUUGAUUAAUUACCAAUUAUUACCAAAUUGGUUACGUGGUUUUAUUUUCUUAUUUUCUUAUUAAGUUAAAGGUAAUCAAUUUUUUCUUUUGAAUUCUGACCUAA
rnacentral:misc_RNA from 1 species